rnacentral:rRNA from 1 species
CGUGUAGGCGGGCAAUCAAGUCAGAUGUAAAAGGCGACGGCUUAACCGUAGUAUGUCAUCUGGUACUGGUUGUCUUGAGUUCGAGAGAGGGUGGUGGAAUUCCCGGUGUAGCGGUGAAAUGCGUAGAUAUCGGGAAGAACACCUGAAGCGAAGGCGGCCACCUGGAUCGACACUGACGCUGAGGCGCGAAAGCGUGGGUAGCAAACA